GAACAAGUUUUUCAUUCUACGAUGUUAUCUAGCUAUUCAAGUAGUCAACAAGUUAAAAAUCUUAGUUUUUAGCUUUAUAUAUGAGUUGCUAAAGUCCCCUCUUAGCACUAAAAUGAGAAUUUGUGCUUUAUGAGUGGGAUGAGAAGUGGCAGAUUAACCAAUUUGGUCUUUAAAUUUCCUUUUUUAUACGGUAUAUACAGAACAUAUGCAUGCAUGCGAUAUCUUCAAUUAUUAAUUAUCCUAACCAUUAGAAGAAAUGUUUUUUAAAAGGGAAACCAUUUUUAAAAAAAGUCUCAGUGUCAGUUUCCACCGUAAAUCACAGCUUUUGUCGUUUUAUUAUGAAAUAUUAAAGAAAUACAGACACUUCAAGUGCCAUUAUUCUGUUUUUUUUUUCUUUUUCUUGAUAUAAAAAAAAAAUUCAUCGAAGUAGUUAGCAACCGCAUGGCCAGCAUAAAGAACUAAUUAACUUGGUGCAAAACAGUUAACAGAAGAGGACCUGAAUACGUGAUCCUCCCCCUUUAGCAAGAGCCAUCUUGGGAUGUAUGUGAUAGAUACGUCAAUAAAUUCAGCAGAUAAAGCUUUAAUUCCAUCUAACUCGGGUGCUAUUGCUGGCCACUCUUCUUCCUCCUUCAUCAGUUUAAUUAAUUGUUCACAGUCGAACUCAAAUCGUACCUCUCUGUUUCCUUGCUUCAAUACUUCCUGGAUAGCCCACAACAACCCUUCUACUUCAGCGUGGAGAGGAGAUGCUGCAGCACUUAGUCCAUGUGCUCCAAACAGGGUAGGGGAAUCAUCUUCCAGCAGCACAAAACCCAUCUCAACUCUAUCGCAUUCGUUUAUCCAGGACGCGUCUGUUUGACAUCUCCAUUUAGCUGCGGAAAUUAUCUAUGUAAUGUUGUUAGUCGGUCGUUGUUGUUCAUCCCUAUCUCCGCCAGGGUCUUUGGAGAUUCUCUGCGCUAGAGUCUAGCUUUCAGCUUCCUUGACAGCAAGUUGAAGUGAGUCCAUCGGUGAGAUAUUUUUAUUUUUGAAACUCUUCUCGUUACGCGCUUUUUAGAUAUACCAUGCGAUCCAUGGGAAUGUAUCCAGCGCUUCUGGAUUUACUCUUUUUUUCUUUUGCACAAAAUAAUAAUAAAUCAAGGUUUUGAGUAUAAAGAGUUACACGGAAAAAACCCCGGAAAAACGGUAUGGAUGAUAGGGCCCAUCAUUAAAGGGCUGGUGGACAUUCGAAGAAAGUGUGGUUAAUGGAUAAUGAGAACUAAACGUCCCUUUUGCAAUAAGGGUAAUGAGAAACUAAAUCUAUACUAUACUAAAAGCAGCAUAUACUCAAAAUCUAAGCUGCCACGUCCUCAAAAAUAAUUGACCAAUGAGAACCAGUUAAACAGCCACGUCAGACAGGCUUCCCCGUGUUAAUUUCGUCCACCUGCAUCUCUAAAAGAAGCGACUUUAAGUUUUUUUUUGCGUGUGUUUCAUUCAUGGGCUUGAUAUUAAGUUGUUGGAUCAAUUUUGAUCAAGACUGUAUUCAAUUGAUUAUUGGGCUGUAUACAAAUAUAGAUAGUCUUCUCUCGGAUACUCCACCGUUACAAUUAAAAUCCGUCGCCGCCGAAGUACUGAUUCUUUUCAUUUACCACCGUACUAUCUCCCCGGUGUUAUGUGGAUGGAUUGUUAUCCGACCAUAACAUGCUGGAACCUAGCAUCUGUUUCUUAUCAUCUGGCUUUUUACUUACCGUAGACAGAAAUCUGGAGAUGUUACGAAAUUUGGUUAAAUCCAAGCGUCGUCUUUAAGGCACUCAUUAACAACAUCUAUCCACUCCUUCCACGAUUUUUCAUUGAAUCCUUCCUCAAUUUCUUACUUUCUGUGCAUCCUUGACUAUAAAUAGUUUAGUCCCAUCCUGAGAAAAUUCAUCCUUUCGAUUCUUUUAAUCGUAAGCUUUUUGAAAUUUGGGAGAUGAUUUCGUUUUCAUUUGUUUCUGUUUGUUGGUGUAUUGCAGGCGACCCUCAUGCAAGCCCAAGCCACCGUCAACAUACAAUGUGUUACCGUCAAGCUCGCUGUUCAGAAUCGUCAGCUGCAUCUUUGGUCAUUAAGGCGUUGAAAGAGCCUGAGCCAGACCGGCAAAAAAAAGUUAAGAACAUUACACACAAGAGUAAUAUUCCCUUCAAUUAGUUUAUUGAGAUUCUAUUGGAAAGAGCUGAGUGGGACAGUUAGGGAGAUUUGGGAAACAUGUGUCGUUGUUGAAUAUGCACGCACCGUUGAUGGAAAUGAUCCGAAUGAUCUUUAGCAGGAUAUUCAAGGUGAGAUCAAUAUUCAUAAUUACCAAGGUACUGAUGCUAUAAAUUGCUUUCUCCAGUGAACUAAUAUGAUCUACUAUGAGGUGAAUGAUUAUUUCUUCUCCUCUUCUUUCCAUGAAUCUUAUUUUAUAUAAGAUCUUAGAUGCCCAUUUAAAUACUUUAGAUUACAUAUUUUAUUGAGCUUCCGCCAUCAGAGGAGAAGCCACAAACCUCCGUAUGAUUAAUCACCUUGCUUAAAAAUACGGCUGAAGGGAUGAGUUAGAUUAUUGUGCAGAAGGAAACUUGCAACGCUGGAGAUGCAGAUGAAUGUAAAUCAAUGGAAGCUUAAAUCAGCAAACUGAAACAUACUUUUCCAAAGCUUGCUUUUGGAAAGAGUUGUGAGGUACCUUAAUCACUAGGCUUAGUGCUGAUGCAAAUUCUGGCCCUGCUACUAAUUUUAAAAAAGGUAAGAAAGUUGCACAAACUUACUUCAUUAUUCUUUCCUACUCUUUUACUUUGCUGAUUAUCGAUUGAAAUGUCCACAAUUUCUGAAGCAUAUAUAGGGUUAUGUCACUAAUCUUUCCCUCUCUUUUAUCUGUGAACUGGCGAUGGAAGCUCCCUUUUUGUCUGGGUUAUAACAGAAACUUGAGAAGCUCCAAGAACAGAAGCUCAUAGAGAAGCUAUUUCAGCCGGAGGAGAUGAAAAUUUGGUCUCUAUAACUUGGAACAAAAUGAAGAUCAUAGUCACGGUUAAAAAUGUUAAUUUUGCUUUCGGGUAUAAGGUGAGCUACUACUAACUUGAAUUAAAAUCAGGACAAAGGAUAUUGCUUAUGUUUGACCCUGUCAAAAAGUGUGUUAUUGCAAACUAGAUGUGUUCAGAAUAACUUUUUCAGUUACUUCACUUUUAUACACGGCUCUUAUUCAUGCAUACUUUGUUAGCGUGUUAACCUUAAAAUGUAAGGUAAGAGAGUUUUGAAAAUACAAGAUGAAUGGACACCAUAUAAAAAGACGUAAAUCUUACUAUCUUUUUAAUUCUCUGAUCUCCAGUCUCCACUAUAAACCAUUUAUUGAAUGUUGCACAUGUGUACGUGCAUGCAGCUAUGCCAAAUAUGCAGAUAUGUGAUUAAAUAAUAUACACAAAUGUAUUGAGAAAAGGCAGAGUGAAGCAAGAAGUGAGAUUUGAUUAACUUCCCAACUGCUCUUUUGCUAAUUACAGCUCAAAGAAGCAUUGGCUUCAUGUGACAUCUUACAUGUUAUGUACGUGACCAAGAAUUUGAAUUAUACAUGCCUAUUACUCAUCCUGAGUAGCAAACUUUCUUCUACUUUUGUUUGAUUCAGUCAUGGCCGCUCCGUCUUCUUAUUUCUACAUGUUCUUCUUAGUGAUGUUUACUUUAUACUGGUUUCUACGGUGUGAUCAAGUGACGUUGAAGCUCUACUAAGUCUAAGAUAAUUUAUUUAUCUGUCCAACUCGAUUCCAUGGCAAGGAACAGAUCUCUUCAACUGGAAAGUUAUUAAAGAAUACAUUAGUGGACAAAGAGCCUCAAGUAUUGAUUGACGAUUUUAACUUCACUGCCUUAUUGGAUAAAAGCCAAUAAAAUUUUCAAAGGGAGAAUUGUUCAGUUUGCACUUUCACAUCUUUAUUUGGCAAUCUAAUUUGUAAAAUCUCUAUAUUUAAGACUUUAUUCAAUCAUAUGAUGAGUGUGAAUGAACAUGAAUAAUAAAUUAGCAAUUAAUUGUUAAAGAUAGAGGAAAUAAACUAAAAUCAUUAUAAGUUAAAUCUUAUUUCAUAUUUCGGUACCUAACAGAACAAAUAUCCUGUAAUUCAGGUAUAAAACUUUGAAACUUAUCAUACUAUCCAUAUUCGGAUCCGGCCUCUCCGGAUACCGGAUUUUUAGAGCGGAUCCGGAUCUGAUCUCGGAUCGAAUCUGAAUCUCGGAUAAUAAGUCUUAGGCCUAUACAAUUGUAUAUUUACUGUUAUUUAAGCUAGGCUUAGUAGAACUGAGAUUUGAAUGGUGAGGCUUUGGAGUAAAGUUUGAAUUAUUUUAAUAAAAAAAUAUUAGAAAUUUCAAAAUCAAAAUUUUUAAGAUAGUUUCAAAAAGUAUUUCGAAUUUUAAAAAGUAAAUUCAAAAUAAAAAUUUGAAAAAUAAAAUCAUAAAAUUAUAAAAAAGUUUGAAUUUUGAAAACAUAAAAUUCAACACUAUAAAAAAUAUUAAGUUUUUAUUGUUUCUUUAAAUAAUUAUUUAUAUUUAUAUAUCUAUAAAGCAAUUGGAAAAGUAGUUUUUUGUCUUUCUAAUAAAAGCUAUUCUGGUAUUCUUUGGAAGCUCUUUUGAUGACAAAAACUUAAAAAUAUUAUUUAAAAGAAUUGUCCAAAAUAAUAAUGAAAAACAAUAACUAAAUAAUAAUAGGUAAUAGAUUUUUGAAGAAACAGUAUCAUAAACAUAGAAUAACACAAUUCAAGUCCCCAUCAAUGCUAGAGAAUGAUUAAGAAUUCACUUACGAGUUUUAAAUUCCCUUUGAAGACAAAGUAUUUAACUAAUACAGCCACAAUGAAGUUCCCAACAAAUUAACGCAUCUUUGACAUAGACCAAGUAUGCGAAGAUUGUUACUAUUUUAAGAAGAUGAAACAAUUUGAUAUCUUCCUUCAAACAAGAUAAUCACAAAAACAAACACAAGCAUCUACAUUUUUUAUUUUCGAACAUUAACGUUACUUUAUGUUUAAAUUUAAACUGAACUACGACUAUCAGCAUAAUUCUACUUUUAUUGAGGCGAUUAAUCACAACCACUUAUGCUUUUCCACAUUGAACUAAGAAACUUUAAAACAAAGUAAUACACUACUAUUGGUAACCACUAUAAAAUGGAUCAGAAAAUAUCAUUCUUUUCAACAUAUAUUCAUCUUUAUAUUUUUGAACAUAUUUUCUUUAAAAGACUAUAAAAUAAAUUGUAAAUUAAUUUAGAAUAUAAUUGACGAACCCGGCGCGUAGCGCCGGAAGACCACUAGUAUUUCUAAAGAGGUAAUAAAUUUGAAUUUUGAAGUGUGAGGAAAUUAGAUAUAUUCUCUCGUAGGUGAGUGGAUGUAUUGCAAAGAAUAAAUCCUAAAACAACUAAUAUUAUUUUAAAACUUACCAUAUUUGGAAAUUUUAAUGUUGGCGAUCCACAACCUGACAACUACAAUGCGUUUCACACAUAGAAAGGCUGACAAAGUGUGAAAGGUCACUUAAAUUUAGAAGAAAUAUUCGUUACGUCUGUUACUCUUUGUUUUUUUUUUUCUCUAUAUAAUUUAUUUCCUUUUCCAUUAAAAACAAUGAAAGUAACAAACAAGAGCUGGCUUUCCUCUUAUAGAAACCCUGAUGCAUUUGACCAAAAAAAAAAUUGACCAAAAAAAAAAAGAAACCCUGAUGCCAUCUAGCUGUCCUCAGAUUGCACGUUUCAAGUGUAGUUUGCAUGUGAUCAUGAUAAUAUUUAAAGUUCAAAUAAUCUUAUAGUUCUUUUGUAUAUUUGAGCAUAUGAACCAACACCAAUCUAUGACACAACAUGUCAUAUGUUGUCUUAUAUUCGCAAGCUGUGUAAGAUCAACAUUUUUCUCAGCUAGAAAAAACACUUCACUAUUUUCCUUAUAAUUAAAAAGGAUCUCCAGCCAAUAGAAAGCUCGUUAAUAACAUCACACAGAGCCUUUUGUGGUGACUUCAGUUAUCUAUAGACUAUAGUUUAUUGGAAUUAUGUACAAUAAAGAAAUUUAUCACUAUUGUUUAGAGAUAACUAGUGCAUUUGGAGAGAUAGAAGGUUUUGAGUGCAAUGUUAACUAGGCCCCCAAUGAAAACAGUUAGGGUUUUCAAGAACCCGGCCGCUAGGCUAGGUUUUCCGAGCUUGAUGGAGGAAUCGAAGAAGGAUUUUCUCUAUCUUAGUGUCAGAGUAAGGAUCAAAGUAAUAAAGAUGGAAGUAAGUUGAAGUCGGUGGAAGCAGUAAAAAAUAAGUCAGUACCAUCAAAAAUGCGAUGCAAGUAGAUAUGGUAAAAAAAGAAGUGGAUAUAGUAGAUGCAGCAGCUAGAGAUGUUAAAAUGCACCUUAAGCCUGUGGAUCUGAAUGAGCCUAGUAGAGUUUUUGAUCAGUGGCUCAUUUGUUAUCAUGUAAAAAUAAAUGGGUUUAUACAUGGGAAAUCUGUUUAGAUAUACUCGUUAAAUAAAUGGGUAUCCGGUUAGGUUCGUUUUUGGGUAUUUCUAAAAAAGCAAAAAUUAUAUUUAGAAUAUUUAAAACUAACUUAAAGGUAAUUUAAAAAUGUCACAAUUUAUAGAAUUUGUGUUUUUGAAACAGAAUGAUUAUGUUAUAUUUAGUUUGUGUUCUUUUGAAACAAAAUACAUAUGAUGUGUUCGGGUUUAAAACCUAUUCAAAUGUGUUGAUAUUUUUAAUAAUAUGAUGGAUUGAUUAAUAUUUAAUAAAAAAUAUUUUUAAUUUUAUUUUUUUUUUUAAUUUAAAUUUCUAUUUAUCAUAAAGUUUAGAAAUCAAAUAAAAUUGUUUGUUUAAAUUAAGAAUUAAUUGUUAUUAUAUUAAGAAAAUAAUUUAAACCCUGUUAAGAUGAGAAAACAUAAUGGACAAAAAAAUUGUAUUAAAAACAUAAGUGAGCCUAAACAGACUAAAACAGUUCUUCACAACUUAACGAACUUAAAAAUAAAUAAAAACUAAACGGAAAUAUGUAUAAAUAAGCUUAAAUCUACAUGAUAUAAUGGGCAGGGCCUAAACAGACCUGGACCGCCCAUUAAAACAUCUAUAGUAGCAGCUUUGGUUGAGGUUUCGUAUGAUAUGAUUUAAAACUAAAGUUCCCAUGUUGAAAUAUUACUUGCAAGGAAAUUUUCUAUAAAAAAUUCAUGUGGUGUGGGAGAUAAAUAUCAAUAUGAAUUGAUGUGUUUGAAAGGGAUGAGAACAUUUCCAAUUUUAAAAUCAAAGAUGUCUAACUGAAGAAGCGAGCUAGUUCACAGAAAGGGUAUGUGCAAAAAAGGUAUGUACAACAUCGAAUACAUUCCAAUGAUCAUCACAAAAUGGUCAUUCAAUAGAGGAAGAAAAGUAUAAACAAGAUAUAAGAACCAUUGCAAUGUGGGACGGUAAACAAUUUCCGCACAUGAUGUACUUGUAGGAGGUGUAAACCCAUCUGUCGUACGUUCGAUUCAUGCUAGGAAAAAUAUUGAUGUUACUUGGCCAAUGUGAGCUUGGACUUCAAUCCAGUUUACAAACGAUCUAACUACCUCUUGAUAUUAGUCGGAGGGCAUAUAAAAUAAGUACUUGUAGGAACUCAAUAUUAAGUAAUAUUGUUGCACCAGUAUAUAUUUGGCAACUUUGUGAUAAAUUCCUUUGACAUAAUGAGUGGUUAUGAGAGUGAUCAAUGCAUAGCCGUAAACACUAGAAUGGAAUGUAUUCAUAUGUCAAUAUUAGAGUUUGUUUGAAUGAGAAAUGAUUUAAGUUUAACUAUGUUUAUUAAGUGUGAAAUGCAGAAAUGGAUGUGGCGGAUAUUGAGUAGUAGUCUAAACAAGGUUAGGAACCUAAGGAAAGUUAUAUAAAGAAAUGAACUCAUACAAAAACAUGAGAGCCCUAAGAGACAAAUGAGUUGGGCUUAUUAAAGUCCAUCUCAAAAAGCCUCAAGAACAAGUCCAUAAGCCCAAGAAUGAGUGUAGGGUUUCUAGCAAGUAGACUUCAUAUAAAUGGUUUUGGUAUGUUGACAUUGAUAAAACCUUGGCUGCUACAAGCAGCUUCUUUCAAACUUGUUUUAUGAAUCAAUCGAUCUAUUUUAUUCCUUGGUGACAACUUUAAAUUCAUCUCUUUUUUUACUUUUAUUGUACUAAAUAAAGCUUUCUAAAGUUAUUUCUAUCUUUGUUAAUAAGCUCUUUGAGCAUCCAAUCUCUAUUGUUUGAGAUUGUAUACAUGGCUUAGGUUUGAGUUUGAGUGCGAGUUCGGUAUGUUGGCAUCGGUCUAAUAAUCUGUCUUUUUGCUUUCGAUUCUGUUUUCAAUAUCUGAUCAUUUUCUUCUUAAUGCUCAAUUUAUUAGAGAAAUAAAUCUCCAUAAUCUUUUAGAAUAUAAAUUAGUAUAUUCUCUCAUUCUCUCACUUUCUUUAGGGCAUUUCCAAUGGCACACAAAAAUUAUCUCUAUAUUUCACUCUAAAAUAUAGUAACUCUAUUAUAGAGUUGGAUUUGCUUAAAUGGGUUCCUUCUAUAAUAAAGUUACUCUAUAAUAGAGUGGAAUAUAGAGUAAUAUUAUUCUUUUACUAUAUUAUAUAGUGAACCAUUGGAGCAAAUCCAACUCUAUAAUAUAGUUAUUUAAAGUGAAAUGUAGAUAAUUUUUUUGUGUACCAUUGAUUGGAGGUAGUCUUAUCACCACUUCUGCUUCCUUCUUAAUUUAAAUUAGUGGCGAGUUAGCUGGUUUUUUACUACCGAGAGGGGACUGCAUUAGGACUGCUCACUAUCUCUCCUAUAUAUAUAUGUUAUAGUUAGUUAUGGAUGUGUUAUCAAAGUGCUUGCACAAAGCUGCAGUGAUUCAACUGAUUUGAAAUCAUUCAACCUGAAAUAACACCCUCACCAAGGCCAAUGUUUUUAAAGCUUGAAUGAUACCCAAUCAGUUUGAUCAUUGCAUAUGUUUAAAUAUUCAUUGGAUUGGAACCAUCAUUAGUCAUAUCUCAAGAAACAACAUGUUGAUAUGGAGACACCAUAAUUUCGCGUUUUCGCGAAAAUGAAUUAUGAGGUGACACGGAGACACCGUAAUUUCACAAACUGGGUUGAUAUAUGAUAGGUUGACAAGUAGGUCAGAAAUCGAUUUAACGUCAAUUAUAGCAACCAAAGAUCGUGUAUGAUAAGGACUUUUAAACUUUGUUUGAAUUUUGAUGUAAUUUAUUUCCGAUUAUAAUUCAAUAUUUUCUCAAAAUUUGGAUAAAAAUGUAUAUGAUGAAAAGUAGAAAACCAAACAUUUUGAAUUAGUUUAAAUAUUACUGUAAUAUCAUGGAAAUCUAUCUCAAAAUUGUUUUACUAGAAAAGCAAAUGAGAUGAUAAAUUAUACAUAAAACUUUAAAGGGCUUAACUGAACCCUCAAACCUUUCCUUGGGUUCUCCACUAACCACUACAGAAAAAUGCCAAAUGCAUGCCUGAAAAAGUAGUGUUUGAACGAAAGAAUGUGGACUAACGUAGCGCAGCACAUAAAGUAUUUUUCUUAAUCAAUGUACGAUCUUCACUAGAAUUCAAGUUGCUUGAAGAAGUGAAAUUAAGAGGUUUGGAAGGAGUAUAGAUAUGCUCACGUGAGACAACACAAAUCAAGUCCAAAGACUGAAGCAAAUCUUUAUGGGGGUAUCCACAACCACAAGACUAAAUGAUAUAGACUGGGGCCGGCUACCAAAGAAAAGAAAGUAGAAAUAUAUGUCCUCCAUGAAGAAGAGGUUUACAAAGAUAGUAAAGCAUUUCUUUUCCAAAAAAUAUACUAAUUGUUUUCACUAUGUACACAUCCUUAUAGGAAAAAACAAUAACCCGUAGUCGAAAUAUAAUUCUGAACAUCUUAUUCAAGGUAGUUUUAAAGACGGGGAAAAAGGUCAAGAUUAUGAUGAUGCAGAUUUAAAGUGAUAUGACAAUAGACAUGCAACUUAGCCACAAGAGUCCUUGCAUGAGCAUAUACUAGCAAGGGAUGUAGAGUUUUGAACCUAAAUCCUACUCAAAGCAAAGAGGAGUGAGAGCUCCAAUGGAGAUUUUUAAGACAAGUUUCCAAAUUUAAAAAUAAUCAAAAAAUGCAAAAAAAAAAGUAGGAGAAGUGUCAGAAAAAAUUCUAAACUCUUAUGCUUAAGAACUUUAUCAAAAAAACCCACACACCCAUGUAUCACUUUUAUGCUAGUUCAAAUUUAAAAUGGUAAAUAAAAAUUAGUUACUUAAAUUAAUUGCAAUAAAAUAUUAAUAAUUUGUUUUUAGUUACUUAAUGGAGUUCUAACUGUUGUGGAUGCUCUUAACAUGAAGCAAACAAUACUUUUUUUUAUCAACAAGCAAACAGUACAUAACCACAACGAAUAUACUUGGAUUUCUACAUAAAGAGAUGAUUAGCAAUCAGUUGCUAUUAUCAAAAACAUUUUACAAUUAUUCUACUUAUCAGAUCAGAUCACAAAGACAAUGUUGUACUUUAAAUAACACGUUUAUGAAAAGUAGUUGUGUUUCAAAAUUAGAUUGAAGCAUGUGAGAAUGGAAGAGUGGAGAUAAGUUAUAAAAAUGCGAAGUUUGAAAAUUUAAGUUACUAGUUUAAAAUGGAGUCGCGUCUAAUACAUAUAUAAUAUUGAUGUUAAAAAUACAUCAAACUCACAUAUUAACAAAAAAAAAUUUAAAUGCAAAUUUUGAAAAUUUAAAUUACUAAUUUUUAGAUAAUAUUAUGAAAUUUUGAUUUUUUUUUUGAUUUUUAGAUUUUUAAUAGUAAAAUCCCUCAAAUAUGUUUACUUAAUGUGGAAACUCCUAAAAUAAAAAUUUACCAGUAGUAAUGGUAAUCAUGAGCUGUUAGGAUUUAAUUCAUUAAAUAAAGUUAGUUUAGGAGUUUUUUUCGUUAAGCACUUAGUUUGAAGGUUUUUACUCAAAACAAACUUAGUUGAGAGGUUUUAACGUUAAAAUCUUUCAAUUAAUUAUGUAUUUAUCUGAUUUUGGUUUUUAAAUCGUAUAUCUAUGUGUUAGCGAUAUGCAUAUUCUUACCCAUAAAAGAUCUCACCUCAAAGGUCAAAAAAGAUCUCACCUCAUGUUCAUUUAUUAAUUUGGUCCAAAUACAACAACUCAAAAUCUGUAAUCAAAUAUAUAUCUAUAACAAUAAUAAUAAAAAAUUCUUUUUUCUUAGAACAUUUCCAAAAAUAACUUGAAAACUUCAAAUAUGAAAUUUCGCAUGCUCCAAAAACAACUUCAAAACUUCAAAUCUUGAAGUUUUGUACAGUGAAACUUCGUAUUUGAAGUUUUAGAGCACAAAAUUUCAUAUUUGAUUUUUUUUUACUUUUAAGUCUUUAUACAAUUAUCUAUUUUUCAAAUUAUCUUACUAACUUUUAUAUUUAUCAUUUUAGUCCUUAUAAUAUUUUUUUAAUCUUAUGAAAAAUAAAAAUAAAUCGAAAAUUAUACAAAACAAUAUUACAAUACACAUUUAAUACAAAUUACAAAGCAAAUAUACAAAAAAAUAAAAUUAUAUAAAAAUAAAAUUAUUACAUUGACUAACGAAAGUACGUGAUUUUAACAACUUUUACCUUGUAAUAUGCAAAUACAAAUAAAAAACUCAGUUAUUAUUUCGAAAUGCAUGUAAUAUGCUAUUAAAAUGUAUUAUCUUACUAAUAAUAAUGUGUAUAAUAUUUUUGUUAUAUAUUUUAUUGCUAAAUAAAAAAUUUAUAAAUUUUUUUUAUCAAUAAGAAGAACUAUAGUGUAAAAUUUAAAACUUCUGAAAUUAAGUUUAAAGUUGUUCUUUUGGAAAAGAGCGCCCUCAAAUUUCAAAUUUAAAGUUUUGCAAACUUCAAAAAUGAACUUUUUAUUUAGAUGGUCUUAAAGAACUACAUGAGCAUUGGAUGCUUCUGUCUCCAAGUGUCUUCUUUUUAAAACUUCAGUCUUGAUUUGUUUCAACUCGUGACAUAUGUUUUACUUCAUUCUUGGCCCAAAUUAUAAUUACUUUAGAGAAGUCAUAGCUUUCUCCUUUCGCCGGUGUAUGGAAACAAAAUUUUGGCGACUCCUUUUAAUCUUCUUAGAUGACGUUACACUGUGAAAAUGACAAUCAAUCAAGCCACCCCACUAUUCCCACUAUGUAUCUUCAUUGAUUCUUUAAUUCACCUUUCACCGCCUUCGUUGCAUAUAAAAUGAAGUGUAUGAGCAACAAAGCAAAAUCUUUUGCAUAUCCAAAUCCAGAGUUCGUGUCCCUUGUAACUGAAACCCCUCCGCCAUGGCGACUUGAUGCAUAUGAGUAUUUGGAAUAUAUUCGAAUAUCUUAUUAUUUAUUUUAUUAUUUGGAAUAAAUUUAGAUAAUUACUUUUUAUUUGUAUUUUUCAUAUUCUAGUGGUUUUCCUAUUUUAAUUAAGAUUAAUGUUUUUCUA